CGUAGGGAUCUGAGUCCCUCCCGAAGCUGCAGGCUCAGUCGAAGAGGACAACCAUACCAGAUAGAUGGGGACAGUUCUUUGGUCAAGAGUAUAUGAGUAGCUUUGCUUCCCUGAUAGAACCUCCAAACCAGCUCUCAAAAUGCAUUAGAGAUUUUCCUGAUGGCCUAUGGGUUGAUUUUCAAAUCUUGUGUUUUAUGUGACA
rnacentral:snRNA from 1 species